rnacentral:tRNA from 1 species
AAAAUCUGUCGACUUUAUAAAUCGUGAGGGUUCAAGUCCCUCUAUCCCCA